UAUUUUAUUGAUCAUGGCUCAGAGUGAACGCUGGCGUGUUCAUGCCUAACACAUGCAAGUCGAACGGCAGCACAGUGAGAGCUUGCUCUCUGGGUGGCGAGUGGCGGACGGGUGAUGGAAUACAUCUGGAAUCUACUUUUUCGUGGUGGGAUAACGUAGGGAAACUUACUGCUAAUACCGCAUACGACCUACGUGUGUGAAAGCAGUGGUGAUCUUCGUGACCUUGCGCGAUUGAAUGAGCCGAUGUCGGAUUAGCUAGUUGGCGGGGUAAAUGUGCCCACCAAGGCGACGAUCCGUAGCUGGUCUGAGCAGGAUGAUCAGCCACACUGGAACUGAGACACUGGUCCAGACUCCUACGGGAGGCAGCAGUGGGGAAUAUUGGACAAUGGGCGCAAGCCUGAUCCAGCCAUACCGCGUGGGUGAAGCAAGGCCUUCGGGUUGUNCACAGCCCUUUUGUUGGGAAAGAAAUCCAGCUGGCUAAUACCCGGUUGGGAUGACGGUACCCAANAGAAUAACGCACCGGCUAACUUCCGUGCCCAGCAGCCGCGGUAAUACGAAGGGGUGCAACGCGUUACUCCGCAAUUUACUGGGCGGCCAAAGCCGUUGCCGGUUAGGUUUCGNUCCNCCUUCANCGGUCCCGCGUCGUUNNANAAGCCCCCUNUGGGGUCCANCCCUNNGNGCAACCUUCGCCGCGUGGGCUNUCUUUGGGGCNGCAUCUUCGAUGUCUGUUGCACGGGGUCUGNNACUGCCAUCCUCUCGGUCCUCNCCGUCGUCAAUCGCUUCCGCUCCGGGNGCCCANCCCNUG
rnacentral:rRNA from 1 species